rnacentral:misc_RNA from 1 species
GUGUGGGUGUUGUAAUUCUAGCACUUGAGCUGCAAGAAGUGUUGAUUGUUGAUGCUUGUUAGGUUCUAGGGUUUUUAGGGUUUUAGGGGUUUUAAGUGAUCUGUGAAUAAUGGAGGCAAAGGAGGGAAUAAGUUCGGGGGUGACGGUGAAGGGAAUACACGCUCCAGAGAGUUUCAGAGUGGCCCCCAGAAAUGAAAAUUCUGUCCCUAACCUGAACCCGAUUCCCAAUCCUAUUCCUAAUUCCAAUCCUAAUCCUAACCCGACCCCUAAUUCUAACCCUAGCCCUAACUCUAGCCACUUUGGUGGGCCCACAGUGACCUCCUUGCCGGCGAGCGCGGGCACGGAGGUCAAGAAGAAAAGAGGGAGGCCAAAGAAGUACGGACCUGACGGCACCUUAGCUUUGGCAUUGUCUCCGAUGCCGAUAUCGUCUUCUAUUCCGCUCACGGGAGAGUUAUCAGCUUGGAAACGGGGUAGAGGGCGGCCUUUAGAGUCAGCCAAGAAGCAAUAUAAAUAUGAAUAUGAUAGCGCAGGGGAGAGAAUUGCAUACUUCGUUGGUGCAAAUUUCACGCCCCAUGUGAUCACAGUAAAUGCUGGUGAGGAUGUCACAAUGAAGGUCAUGUCCUUUUCUCAGCAAGGAUGUCGGGCUAUCUGCAUUCUUUCUGCAAAUGGUACAAUCUCAAAUGUUACACUUCGUCAACCUACUUCGUCUGGUGGUACUCUAACAUAUGAGGGUCGUUUUGAGAUACUUUCCUUAUCUGGAUCAUUUAUGCCAACUAAUAGUGGAGGAACAAAGAGCAGAUCUGGUGGGAUGAGUGUCUCCUUGGCAGGUCCAGAUGGUCGUGUUGUGGGUGGUGGACUUGCCGGUAUGUUGGUAGCUGCUGGCUCUGUGCAGGUUGUUGUGGGCAGUUUCCUACCAGGUCACCAGCAGGAGCAAAAACACAAGAAACAGAAAAACUGAAAUUGCACCAGCUAGAGCUCCUGUCAAAGUUUUAUCUGCAGAAGAUACGAAAGGGGCAUAUGGUGGAGUGAAGCCAGUUCUCAUACCAACAUCCUUCCAGGGCGAUAAAUCAGCUCCUGUUAACCCUGCCCAGGCCUUUAGGAACUCAGCUUCUGACGAUAAAACCUCUUCACCUGAAGAUGGAUCUAAAGGUCCCAAUCAAUCCAACUGUGAGGUUUCUACUUGAUGACCUUUUACAUAUGCUGGUUGUAUCUUCAUUGUUUUACCGCAGACAUAACAGCAUUUAGGCUCAUUCAGCCCUGUUAGAGACCAAUAUAAACAAAGUGGCCAUUAUUUAAAGCAGAUUAGGUUUUAACAUAUUAUGGAUAUUAACCCAGCAGUGCACCCUUUUUUUUUAGGUAGGACUUACAGUUGUUAGGAUCAUCUGUGGCUGUUCCCAUCAUGUAUUUUGUAGUGUUUGUGUUGUUGUAGUGGAUGUAUGAAGCCUGGUGCGUCAAAAUGUCAAUCUUCUGAUCAACUAC